UAGUCAUAUGCUUGUCUCAAAGAUUAAGCCAUGCAUGUCUAAGUAUAAACAAAUUUAUACCGUGAAACUGCGAAUGGCUCAUUAAAUCAGUUAUAGUUUAUUUGAUGGUAUCUUGCUACAUGGAUAACUGUGGUAAUUCUAGAGCUAAUACAUGCUUAAAAGCCCCGACUUCUGGAAGGGGUGUAUUUAUUAGAUAAAAAACCAAUGACUUCGGUCUCCUUGGUGAUUCAUAAUAACUUCUCGAAUCGCAUGGCCUUGUGCCGGCGAUGCUUCAUUC
rnacentral:rRNA from 1 species